ACACCUGCAAGUCGAGCGGUAACAGGGGGUGCUUGCACCCCGCUGACGAGCGGCGGACGGGUGAGUAAUGCAUAGGAAUCUGCCCAGUAGUUGGGGAUAGCCCGGGGAAACCCGGAUUAAUACCGAAUACGCCCUACGGGGGAAAGCAGGGGAUCUUCGGACCUUGCGCUAUUGGAUGAGCCUAUGUCGGAUUAGCUAGUUGGUGGGGUAACGGCCUACCAAGGCGACGAUCCGUAGCUGGUCUGAGAGGAUGAUCAGCCACAUCGGGACUGAGACACGGCCCGAACUCCUACGGGAGGCAGCAGUGGGGAAUAUUGGACAAUGGGGGCAACCCUGAUCCAGCCAUGCCGCGUGUGUGAAGAAGGCUUUCGGGUUGUAAAGCACUUUCAGUGAGGAGGAAAACCUUAUGGCUAAUAUCCAUGAGGCUUGACGUUACUCACAGAAGAAGCACCGGCUAACUCCGUGCCAGCAGCCGCGGUAAUACGGAGGGUGCAAGCGUUAAUCGGAAUUACUGGGCGUAAAGCGCGCGUAGGUGGUUCGAUAAGCGAGAUGUGAAAGCCCCGGGCUUAACCUGGGAACGGCAUUUCGAACUGUCGAGCUAGAGUGUGGUAGAGGGUAGUGGAAUUUCCUGUGUAGCGGUGAAAUGCGUAGAUAUAGGAAGGAACACCAGUGGCGAAGGCGGCUACCUGGACCAACACUGACACUGAGGUGCGAAAGCGUGGGGAGCAAACAGGAUUAGAUACCCUGGUAGUCCACGCCGUAAACGAUGUCAACUAGCCGUUGGGGAUCUUGAAUCCUUAGUGGCGCAGCUAACGCACUAAGUUGACCGCCUGGGGAGUACGGCCGCAAGGUUAAAACUCAAAUGAAUUGACGGGGGCCCGCACAAGCGGUGGAGCAUGUGGUUUAAUUCGACGCAACGCGAAGAACCUUACCUGGCCUUGACAUCCUGCGAACUUUCUAGAGAUAGAUUGGUGCCUUCGGGAACGCAGUGACAGGUGCUGCAUGGCCGUCGUCAGCUCGUGUCGUGAGAUGUUGGGUUAAGUCCCGUAACGAGCGCAACCCCUAUCCCUAGUUGCUAGCAGUUCGGCUGAGAACUCUAGGGAGACUGCCGGUGACAAACCGGAGGAAGGUGGGGAUGACGUCAGGUCAUCAUGGCCCUUACGGCCAGGGCUACACACGUGCUACAAUGGCGCGCACAGAGGGCUGCAAACUCGCGAGGGUAAGCCAAUCUCUUAAAACGCGUCGUAGUCCGGAUCGCAGUCUGCAACUCGACUGCGUGAAGUCGGAAUCGCUAGUAAUCGCGAAUCAGAAUGUCGCGGUGAAUACGUUCCCGGGCCUUGUACACACCGCCCGUCACACCAUGGGAGUGGAUUGCACCAGAAGUGGUUAGUCUAACCUUCGGGAGGACGAUCAACC
rnacentral:rRNA from 1 species